GGGGCAGUAGCUCAGAUGGUAGAGCAAUGAUCACUUUCCGCUAUUGGCAGACAAAGUUCCUAUGGUACAUGGGUCAUAGGUUCGAUUCCUGUCUGCUCCA
rnacentral:tRNA from 1 species